rnacentral:lncRNA from 1 species
GGGAAAGGAGAUGGAGCUCAACAGCAUCCCCUAUAUUGCGUCGUGGUCUUCCUCCUCCAGCUGCUUCUACUACAGCUACAGUCGCUGCGCCUGCAGGUGAUGUUAGAGAACUCUCGUUCCCGUAUGCAAAUGGGAGAGUCUUGUCUGCAUGGAAGCAAACGACCUGAGAAAUCCUUAUGUACAGAGGUAGAAGAGAUGGGAAGCUGGUAACAAAAGCUUCUGCAGCUGGUAGUAAGCGUGCUGCUAAUUCAGUAUGUUCACAACUCUCUGAGCAGGGAACUGAAGAUUCCAUUUCA